rnacentral:piRNA from 1 species
UCACACUCUAAAAUAAGGUUAAUGUGACAAG